rnacentral:rRNA from 1 species
AGAGUUUGAUCCUGGCUCAGGAUGAACGCUGGCGGCGUGCUUAACACAUGCAAGUCGAACGAUCCUUCGGGAUAGUGGCGGACGGGUGAGUAACGCGUGGGAAUCUGCCCUCAGGAGGGGGAUAACGGCUGGAAACGGCCGCUAAUACCCCAUAUGCCGAGAGGUGAAAUGAAUUUCGCCUGAGGAUGAGCCCGCGUCUGAUUAGCCAGUUGGUGGGGUAAUGGCCUACCAAGGCAACGAUCAGUAGCUGGUCUGAGAGGAUGAUCAGCCACACUGGGACUGAGACACGGCCCAGACUCCUACGGGAGGCAGCAGUGGGGAAUUUUCCGCAAUGGGCGAAAGCCUGACGGAGCAACGCCGCGUGAGGGAUGAAGGCCUCUGGGCUGUAAACCUCUUUUCUCAAGGAAGAAGACCUGACGGUACUUGAGGAAUAAGCCACGGCUAAUUCCGUGCCAGCAGCCGCGGUAAUACGGGAGUGGCAAGCGUUAUCCGGAAUUAUUGGGCGUAAAGCGUCCGCAGGCGGCCUUGUAAGUCUGUUGUUAAAGCGUGGAGCUCAACUCCAUUUAAGCAAUGGAAACUACAAGGCUGGAGUGUGGUAGGGGCAGAGGGAAUUCCCGGUGUAGCGGUGAAAUGCGUAGAUAUCGGGAAGAACACCAGUGGCGAAGGCGCUCUGCUGGGCCAUAACUGACGCUCAUGGACGAAAGCCAGGGGAGCGAAAGGGAUUAGAUACCCCUGUAGUCCUGGCCGUAAACGAUGAACACUAGGUGUCGGGGGAAUCGACCCCCUCGGUGUCGUAGCCAACGCGUUAAGUGUUCCGCCUGGGGAGUACGCACGCAAGUGUGAAACUCAAAGGAAUUGACGGGGGCCCGCACAAGCGGUGGAGUAUGUGGUUUAAUUCGAUGCAACGCGAAGAACCUUACCAGGGUUUGACACCCUGCGAACCCCUGAGAAAUCGGGGGGUGCCUUCGGGAGCGCAGAGACAGGUGGUGCAUGGCUGUCGUCAGCUCGUGUCGUGAGAUGUUGGGUUAAGUCCCGCAACGAGCGCAACCCACGUCUUUAGUUGCCAGCAUUCAGUUGGGCACUCUAGAGAGACCGCCGGUGAUAAACCGGAGGAAGGUGUGGAUGACGUCAAGUCAUCAAGCCCCUUACAUCCUGGGCUACACACGUACUACAAUGCUACGGACAAAGGGCAGCAAGCUCGCGAGAGUUAGCAAAUCCCAUAAACCGUGGCUCAGUUCAGAUCGUAGGCUGCGACUCGCCUACGUGAAGGAGGAAUCGCUAGUAAUCGCAGGUCAGCAUACUGCGGUGAAUACGUUCCCGGGCCUUGUACACACCGCCCGUCACACCAUGGAAGUUGGCCAUGCCCGAAGUCGUUACUCCAACCCUUGUGGAGGAGGACGCCGAAGGUGGGGCUGAUGACUGGGGUGAAGUCG